GACGAACGCUGGCGGCGUGCUUAACACAUGCAAGUCGAACGGAGUGGCGAACGGGUGAGUAUCACGUGGGUGAUCUGCCUUGCACUUCGGGAUAAGCUUGGGAAACUGGGUCUAAUACCGGAUAGUGCAAUAUGAGGUCGCGGCCUAUCCGCUUGUUGGUGGGGUAAUGGCCUAACACGGCGUCGACGGGUAGCCGGCCUGAGAGGGUGUACGGCGACAUUGGGACAGAGAUACGGCCAAGACUCCUACGGGAGGCAGCAGGUGGGAAUGUUGCACAAUAGGCGGAAGCGUUAUGCAGCGACGGCGCGUGGGUGAUGAAGGCCUUCGGGUUGUAAACUCCUUUCGACAGAGACGAGAUACCUGUAUAGGAAGCGCCGGCUAACUACGUGCCAGCAGCCGCGGUAAUUC
rnacentral:rRNA from 1 species